ensembl:lncRNA
UGGCGCUCUGCUCUCUCUCUGUGUCGUCUGCGUCUCUCCCUGGCUUUCUGUAUGGCUCUGAGCUCGGGGGGCUGCUCUAACUCACGAGCCUUCUUCAGGUGAGCUGCCGCGUGGGCCAUGGCUCACACACACACACCACACACACACUCUUUCUAGCUGACUUUUAGUCAAGCAAAACUUGUCUUUCGCUUAAACUCUCCCUCUCUAACUCUCACACACACUUUCUCAGACACACUCUCCGUCUGUCCUUUAGGUAAAAACACUAGUAGACUAGUUAUGAAGUAUGGAGCUGAAGAUCCUCUUGAGGUCCAGUCUUCAGUCUAGUCAACAACACGAAGCUGGAGGUUCUCUUGAGAUCCAGUCUUCAGUCUAGUCAACGAUACGGAGCUGGAGGUCCUCUUGAGAUCCAGUCUUCAGUCUGGUCAACGACACGGAGCUGGAGGUCCUCUUGAGAUCCAGUCUUCAGUCUAGUCAACGAUAUGGAGCUGGAGGUUCUCUUGAGAUCCAGUCUUCAGUCUAGUCAACGAUAUGGAGCUGGAGGAUCCUCUUGAGGUCCAGUCUUCAGUCUAGUCAACGAUAUGGAGCUGGAGGAUCCUCUUGAGGUCCAGUCUUCAGUCUAGUCAACGAUAUGGAGCUGGAGGUCCUCUUGAGGUCUAGUC